rnacentral:rRNA from 1 species
UACGAAGGGGGCUAGCGUUGCUCGGAAUCACUGGGCGUAAAGGGUGCGUAGGCGGGUCUUUAAGUUAGGGGUGAAAUCCUGGAGCUCAACUCCAGAACUGCCUUUGAUACUGAAGAUCUUGAGUUCGGGAGAGGUGAGUGGAACUGCGAGUGUAGAGGUGAAAUUCGUAGAUAUUCGCAAGAACACCAGUGGCGAAGGCGGCUCACUGGCUCGGUACUGACGCUGAGGUGCGAAAGCGUGGGGAGCAAACAGG